rnacentral:lncRNA from 12 species
CUGUAGUGAUAUCUCAUUGUGGUUUUAACUUGAAUAUUCCCAAUGGCAAUUGAUAUUGAACACCGGUUUCAUGUUGUCUACUUUGGCAUGUAAUUUUCAAUUUUAAAAAUGUUACCUUCUCCCUCUGUUAACUGGGAUUUUUAAAUAGAUAACUAUGUAUAUGAGUCAAGAUGUAAGGGAAUCUAUAAUCUGUUAUUUGGCAGAUGGCACUCUGAAGUAGAAAAAUAGGUUGCAGUCAAAUGACAUUCAUAGGAACCAGUACCACAUGGUCUUUACUGAUCUUUUGCCAUGUACAAAGCUGUAAUUGAAAAAAAAAAUUAAAAACCAGCUAUCUCUCUGAUACAUGCUACAAGAUGGAUUAACCCCGAAGACAUUAUGCUUGAUGAAAGACUGAGAGAGUGGACUGGAACCCAUCUGGAAUAAUGACACAUCCCAGUAGUGAUGUCAACAUUAUGUCAUAAAUAUAUAGCAUGAACCAACUUACCAUACUAUGUGAGCUAUACUACCCAUGGAGUCUUCUGGGGAAACGAUUAUUCAUAAAUGACUUAUCAUCCAAAACCACAAGUUCUGUUGCCUGGGACAGGAGUUACACUCAAGAAGUGUUUUCUUCGAAUGAAUCAACUGAGAUAAGGUGGGUAGGCAGCACCAGUUGUACAUUCAACUAAAGCAGGUGAUAUUUAACAAGUUUUAUGGACAAAGUCUUUAUUAGCUGUAAGCAGGAUGCUUUGACCAGGUGUCUCAGAGGGCAAUAUUGAAAUAGUUAAGAAUGAGAAGCUGGAACUCUGGAUUUUUUUAAAAGACAUGUUUGUUUGUUUGUUUGUUUGUUUGUUUGACAGAAGUAGAGGGUGGGAGGAAUGUGCACAAGCAUGGGGAGCAGCAGGCAGAGGGAGAGAGAGCAGGCUCCCUGCUGGGCAGGGAGCCCAAACUGGGGCUUGAUCCCAGGACCCCAAGAUCAUGACCUGAGCUGAAGGCAGACUGGCUGGGAACUCUGACUUUGAAGCUUAUCUGCUCUGUAGCCUUGGGCAAGUUGCUGUAUCUUUGAUUUUUGCUUUCUCCAUUCAUUACAAUGGGUUUUAUUAAUGGGAUGGCAUUUGGAGUUCUGCAACUAUUAAAUGAGCACGUAUCUACAGAAUGUUCCCCAAAUGCUUUGCACCAAGUAAUAGCAUCACAAAUGGUAGCUAUUAUUAUUGUUGUUGUUGAUUUUUUUCAAUAUUGACGUUUUAGGCUAUUUUACUCACAGUUAUUUUAUGCUAAAAUGCAAAUUGAGGCAAUUGUUAACACAGAAAUGGAGGUAAUUCACUACUGCCUUUGCCCAUGAGAUGUUUAAUGACCACCAGUUAGGAGUUCUGCCUUCCUUAUAUGAGACUUUCACACGCUUCAUUUGCAAAAUAGGUGCUUACAUACACAAGAUUUCCCUUUAAAAGUAUUUCGUGGCUCAGCUGCUGUUCUUCUGAUUAACCAACUCCCUCUUUAAAGACUUGAAGCCAUGAAGUUUAUUUUUUGUGACAUUCACUCGAGUAUAGACACAAAAAUUGCCAGUGGUUUACAGCAGGCUUUUACGUCCAUUCCACCAUGCAAACUUGCAGAUGUUGUUUGCAUGAAAGACACAGUUGUAGGGAGAAGGUAAUAUUGACAGAUAACAUCUGCUGUAAGGGACACUUAUGA